AUUCCCAAGGUUGUUGUUCACUGUCAAGUCCAGGAAGGCUCGCCCCGUGACAUCUAGUUUAGUUAUCUACUAGUCUAGUUGUGUAUGGAAAUAUCGCUUCUCGACAUCCCCCUUCUCUAAAAUGUUGAUACAUAUAUAUACAAAUCAAUAAGCGACGAAUUUUGCCCCCAUACAAAAAUGAACUAUCUAGUUUACAAUGUUGUGCAAGUGUUUCGUGUUGAUCCGGCCAAAGUUUGGUUGUCAAUCUGUGCCAAAUAGAAGUAGAAAUUUUGAGUACAAGAUAAAAAGACAGAUAGGGGAAAAUAAUAUAUAGGCUGCGAUUUAGGAAAUCUAAGUCUGCAUAUAGGCUUGGCAACCUCCAAAAUAUUCUAGAGUGCACUCCAAAACGAUUUUAGGGGCUGCCGGUUUGGCGACUGUGCUGCACUGCUGCUAUUAGAAAACAAGUACCAUAGCCUAAACGCUAAUCAUUUUUUUUCUUUUCUUUUUGGCAUAUAACAAACCAAUGGUUCCAGGCCUGCAACCAUGGACAAGAGACAGAGUAAAUUGAAAAAAACCACCACAAUUGUGCAAAUGUCAUCAAACAACCACCAAAAUGUAUGUUUUCUGGUGGGUUUUUUCUGAAGCAUUGAAAACUUUGACCCAAUUGUGGUGGUUUUUUGCAAUUUACUCAGAGACAUGUGAUCUCUGUGACAAUUUGAGUAUUUGACAUAACAUUACCCACAGCAAACCACAUCAAGGUUAGGAACCUCAAGAACUAAGAACAAUCCAUAGAAGAUCAAAGGAGUGAGAGAUGAUUCUGAGGCAAACACUAAGGCCUCAUUUGGUUGCAAGGGAAAGUAUCCCAGGGUAGUAAUCCCACGAGGGGGGUUUUCCAUGGCCAUAGGGGAUCCCUCUCCCACCACGGGGAGGCCCCCACGUGAGUUUGGAGAUGAGGGGCAGGGGAGGAAUCCCGUUCAGAAAAUUGUCAGAAAAGUAUCAAAUUUCUUAUAAAACAUUAUAAUAUUCAAAAGCCAUGAAAAAUAACACUGUCUUUUUUACAAAAAUAUUAUAUUAGUUCAAAAGUAACUAAAUUUUUUCUCUAAUUUCAUUGCAAACUUCAGGAAUGACAAAGAAAACACAGGAAAACACGAAACAAGCAUAAACAGUAAAAAAAUAAAACACUUCAAUCCACAUUAAACACGCUGACCAUAAGUUAUACAUGUUCAGUCGCACAAAUAACGGCACUGCGAAUAAAUUUAGCGUGCUAAUCAUGGUUUAACAGCGGAAAUGCUUACUAAGGUAGAAAUCCAGCAAGGAUAAUCAUUUACUUCCAUUAUUAACAUGUAUCUGUGUAAAUCAUCCAUGCCAAAAUGUGUUGCUGCUGGGAUAGUCACUACUGAAACUUCCAAGAUCAACUUCUUUGAAGAAUUUCAUUGGCUAGCUUUAGGAAACCUGCAAAGCAAAAAAACAACAACGUAGUCACUAUACAAUAUAAAUUUUAAACUAUAUAUAAGCACAUAUAUUUAUUUAUAUCCAUGUUCCCAAUGAAAUAGAUGCAAACAUAAUAAGCACACACCUGUUUGUGUUCUUAUAUGUAUAAUAUUGUUCUCUUUAAUUCCUAGAUGACCACGGCAUGAAAGCCAUCAUUUCGCAAGAAACGAAUGUUAGACUGAAACUAGUUUGAAAAUAGCCUUCAGAGCUUUUCAAUUGUAUAAAAACUAUUCCAAUUGUAAUAUUGUAUAAUGUUCAGAAUAAUAUGCACCGGAUGGCACUAAUGACAAGCUCGUCAGAGCUUUUCUCCUUGAUAUUGUAUAAUGUUUAAAGGAUUACUACUAACCAACUGCUUCACUUUGUAUAAUCUCGUCAUGAAACUAAAUUCACUGAAUUUAUUCAAAGCUGCAACUGAAAAGGGGGCUCAGAGAAGGACAUUGGUAUACGAUAACUGAAGGUAUCAGCUAAUGAAAAAUGAGCUACAACUGAAAAAAAAUCCAUCCCACAAGCGAUCAGAGUGGACGCCAGAAUCGCUCCUGGCGACUAACUACUCUAGCUAAACUCGCUAAUAGAUUGACUGAAGAAAGACUGAAACUGAAAACUAGACACUAGCUAAAAACGCUGCAUGGCAGCAAAACAGAAGUGCCUACCAUGGCAGAGAAAUAUACUAGGUGCGGACUUGGGUUUAUUCCAACAUACGGCAAGUUCAUGGUCGUCUCCGUCGGCUGCGGGCUGAACCCGAAAGAGAGCUACAGCGCCAAGGACGCCGCCAAGUGGGAGAUCCUGAACUGAAUCAUCAAGGAUGGCACUGCCCCCAUCGUCGACAUGUUCAAUGCCACCAGCGCCGACAUGGUGGACAUAAGGAGCUAAAGUUGUAGAGAUGCAUUCACACAAAAACACAAGAUAAUUCCACAAAGAAAAACUGACAAGAGCAUGAACUCAUUUGUAUACACCCUCUGUUUUCUCCACAAGAUAUUCAUCUGCUUAUAGUUAGCAUGUGCAAAUUCAUGAACAAAUUGUAAAAUGCCCAAUGGAAGAAAACACAAAACUGCACCUCUAAAUUGGUACUUCAAAAUUACAUACCUUAUGUUUUCUCCUUGGUAGCAAUUUUCUCCUUCAAUCAGUAAAGGCAUUUUCUAACAGUACAUUAGUAAUUGAUGACUUAACAGCACUGCAUCAAUAAUACUAUCAAUUGGCUUUGCUGCAAUCACAUCAUAAGUCAAAAUUCUUUACAAAAAGAUAAUAUCAAUUCAGAAGUCAUAAUAUAUAUUGGCACAUAUUCUUAUUUAUAUGCAUCUUUCACAAACAAACAGAUCCAAACAUAAUAAGAUGUUGUUCUCUCUUUGAAUAAUCCUCAGGAAAACUCAAAAUCUUAAUAGCACAUGGUUUCAUCUUUUAAUAACUUUGCCACUAACAUACUUUUUACAAAUAAAGCUUGAAGUUAAGACAACAAUAGAUCAACUCAAUGGCGUACGCAAAAAGUGUAAAAUGGAUAGAGAUAAUGGAGUGAAUGUCCCCUUGGGUCCAUAGAGUUUAAACCGAAGGCCAAUUAUCAAGAUUACAUAUGCUCAAACCUUGGUUCCAUAUCUUGGUACAAAAGGGAAGAAUUUGAAUGAGAGUAAUUUUAAACUGAACAGUUACCAUGAUACUAAUGCUACUUUCAUCAACACAAUUGAAUUCCAAUAACUGGUAUGUUUAUGCUACACCGUUAUUAUAAGCAAGACAAGCAUACUUCAAGUUAUCCUAAUUAAAGAUUCUAAGUUAAAAUUAGGACAAAGCUAGUACAGGCUGAGUAGUCCCCUUCAGAAAUAUACUAGAACAUUGUGUGUAGAUUAGCAUCACAAGGAGGUAUAUGUGGUUGUGCUCACUUGUGAGGUCAGGAUAGUUAGGUAGAAACACUACUGCAAACGAUGGAUGUUCUUCCGUAUUGGUUCUUGUGAUACAAAACUCAAACAGGAGAGAAGACUCUUGGAUCUGUACAGGCGCAAGUUAGUGCGUGUAGCAGGUUAGGAAAAAAUGGUGGGUGGAAGAGGAGGAGGGGAUAACCUUGGACGAAGAGGAGCAUGAUCUCCUGGCCGUCGUCGUCAUCGGAAGGUGAAGAUCUUGGGGGCGGAGACGAGAUCCGGGAAGUAGUAGGAUGGCGACCCCGGUCCCGUCGCCCCAUCCGGAGGGGCAGAGCGUCGAAGGGAGGAGGGCAGGGGGCGUCGCAGUCGCCGGUCGGAGGAGGCAGGAGCGGUGGACGGAAGGUCUUCCAGUCGCCGCCGCCAGUCGUUCACGAGUGCAAGACAGAACGAGCGAGGGUUUCCUCCCCGACGUCUGCACUCGUGGGAGCCUUUCCCGGGGAAAGGCCAGGGGUACCCCUUUCUCGUGGGCGUCCAAACGCGAUCGUGAGAAUUCCAGGGUUUAUUCUGUUCGUGGUUUGUCGGCCCGGGGAAAAGGCAGGGAUCCCGG
rnacentral:lncRNA from 1 species